rnacentral:tRNA from 2 species
AGUCCUAUGGUCUAGUGGUAUGACGUUCGCUUCACAGAUUAUGAGUUUCGAGCCUUCAAACGUGAGAAAUGCAUUCCUGUAGAAGCGCGAAAGGUCCCGGGUUCGAUCCCCGGUGGGACUA